AGUGAACGCUGGCGGUAGGCCUAACACAUGCCAGUCGAACGGCAGCACAGUAAGAGCUUGCUCUUACGGGUGGCGAGUGGCGGACGGGUGAGGAAUACAUCGGAAUCUACUUUUUCGUGGGGGAUAACGUAGGGAAACUUACGCUAAUACCGCAUACGACCUACGGGUGAAAGCAGGGGAUCUUCGGACCUUGCGCGAUUGAAUGAGCCGAUGUCGGAUUAGCGAGUUGGCGGGGUAAAGGCCCACCAAGGCGACGAUCCGUUGCUGGUCUGAGAGGAUGAUCAGCCACACUGGAACUGAGACACGGUCCAGACUCCUACGGGAGGCAGCGGUGGGGAAUAUUGGACAAUGGGCGCAAGCCUGAUCCAGCCAUACCGCGUGGGUGAAGAAGGCCUUCGGGUUGUAAAGCCCUUUUGUUGGGAAAGAAAAGCAGCAGGUUAAUACCCCGCUGUUCUGACGGUACCCAAAGAAUAAGCACCGGCUAACUUCGUG
rnacentral:rRNA from 1 species